rnacentral:lncRNA from 1 species
GCAUGAGACAAGAGACUUGGAAGGACGAGAAGCAACAUCGUAAGGUGAGAUUCCUAUUGCCGUAGGAUGAUGCCUCGAGCAGGUCUUAGGUUAGGAGGAGCAUAGAAUAUGAUGGAAAUGGGAUCGAGCGGCUUGGCUUGACUCUCAUAUUUGUCCAUCCAUGAUCAGCAGGCGAUUGUCCUAGGGCAUGGGGGCAAAGAG